rnacentral:ncRNA from 1 species
GCGGGGGGACGGCCUCUCGCGGAUCUCCAGAAUGCCGGGACGGCCCGG